rnacentral:lncRNA from 1 species
UGGUUAAGAGGACAAUCAACCUAUAUAGUAUACAAUGACCUACAUUUGAUAUGUCUAUCGUCCUAAUAAUAGCAUAUCAUUUGGUCGUGAACUCAUUUAAGGACUAAACGAUAUAUCCUCUUAUAUCAAAUCAAAUAGUCCUAAGGACUUCAUCCCAUAACAAGAGUUUAAAAUGAGAUGUACACAGUGAUGAAAAAUUAAAUAAUAUUUAUUAAUUCAAUAAUUUAUAUACAAUUACAAUGAUAAA